CACAAGCGGCGGAGCAUGUGGAUUAAUUCGAUGCAACGCGAAGAACCUUACCUGGGCUUGACAUGGACAGGAUCGGCGCAGAGAUGUGUUUUCCUUUUUGGCUUGUUCACAGGUGGUGCAUGGUUGUCGUCAGCUCGUGUCGUGAGAUGUUGGGUUAAGUCCCGCAACGAGCGCAACCCUUGUCUUAUGUUGCCAGCACGUGAUGGUGGGGACUCAUGAGAGACUGCCGGGGUUAACUCGGAGGAAGGUGGGGAUGACGUCAAAUCAUCAUGCCCCUUAUGUCCAGGGCUUCACACAUGCUACAAUGGUUGAUACAACGCGAUGCGAGCCUGUGAGGGUGAGCGGAUCGCUUGAAAGUCAGUCUUAGUUCGGAUUGGGGUCUGCAACUCGACCCCAUGAAGUCGGAGUCGCU
rnacentral:rRNA from 1 species